rnacentral:rRNA from 1 species
AUGCUUAACACAUGCAAGUCGAACGGUAACAUUUCUAGCUUGCUAGAAGAUGACGAGUGGCGGACGGGUGAGUAAUGCUUGGGAACUUGCCUUUGUGAGGGGGAUAACAGUUGGAAACGACUGCUAAUACCGCAUAAUGUCUUCGGACCAAACGGGGCUUAGGCUCCGGCGCAAAGAGAGGCCCAAGUGAGAUUAGCUAGUUGGUAAGGUAACGGCUUACCAAGGCGACGAUCUCUAGCUGUUCUGAGAGGAAGAUCAGCCACACUGGGACUGAGACACGGCCCAGACUCCUACGGGAGGCAGCAGUGGGGAAUAUUGCACAAUGGGGGAAACCCUGAUGCAGCCAUGCCGCGUGUGUGAAGAAGGCCUUCGGGUUGUAAAGCACUUUCAGUUGUGAGGAAAAGUUAGUAGUUAAUACCUGCUAGCCGUGACGUUAACAACAGAAGAAGCACCGGCUAACUCCGUGCCAGCAGCCGCGGUAAUACGGAGGGUGCGAGCGUUAAUCGGAAUUACUGGGCGUAAAGCGCACGCAGGCGGUUUGUUAAGCUAGAUGUGAAAGCCCCGGGCUCAACCUGGGAACUGCAUUUAAAACUGGCGAGCUAGAGUUGAGUAGAGGGGAGUGGAAUUUCAGGUGUAGCGGUGAAAUGCGUAGAGAUCGGAAGGAACACCAGUGG